AACGAACGCUGGCGGCAUGCCUAACACAUGCAAGUCGAACGGGAUCCUAGCUUGCUAGGUGAGAGUGGCGGACGGGUGAGUAACACGUGGGAAUCUGCCUUUUGGUUCGGGAUAACCGCGGGAAACUGCGGCUAAUACCGAAUGCCCUCGUGAGAGGAAAGAUUUAUCGCCAGAAGAGGAGCCCGCGUCCGAUUAGGUAGUUGGUGGGGUAAAGCCUACCAAGCCGACGAUCGGUAGCUGGUCUGAGAGGAUGAUCAGCCGCACUGGGACUGAGAUACGGCCCAGACUCCUACGGGAGGCAGCAGUGGGGAAUAUUGGACAAUGGGGGCAACCCUGAUCCAGCAAUGCCGCGUGAGUGAUGAAGGCCUUAGGGUUGUAAAGCUCUUUUGCUAGGGAAGAUGAUGACUGUACCUGGAGAAUAAGCCCCGGCUAACUUCGUGCCAGCAGCCGCGGUAAU
rnacentral:rRNA from 1 species